rnacentral:lncRNA from 1 species
AAAAAUAUUUGCUACUUCUUUUAUUGAUUGGUUUUUCGGAUCCCAUGUACAGUGUGUUAACGGCCUUUUUAUAGCCAUGAUGAGAAUAAAAAUAGGAAAUAAAUCAUAUUCAGUAUCUUCUUGAUCUGUGAUCUUUGAUUUUUGUUUCCUUCUGUGUUUAUUUCUUGCAGGCGAAGACGCGGAGGUACGAAGGCUUGGCUGCGGCGCGAGUAGUAUGAGGCGGCCAUAGAGAUCCUUAGAAACCCUAGGGUUUCUGACUAUUUUGG